CGAGUUGACCAGAUGAUCGCGCUUUAUGAACGGUUCGCCGCCAUGAGGUGAGGAAAGUCCGCUCUCCAUCGAGCACAGUGCUAGCUAACGGCUAGGCGGGGCGACCCGACGGCAUAGUGCCACAGAGAUGUGUAUUGCCUCGCAAGAGGUGAGGGUGAAACGGUGGUGCAAGAGACCACCAGUGUCGGCAGCAAUGUCGGCAGCUAGGCAAACCCCACUGGGAGCAAGACUAAGCAGAAGCGAGGGGCUGCUCGUCCCGUUAUCAGCUUCGGGUAAGUUGCAGGAGGCGUCCGGGUGACUGGCGUCCCAGAGAGAUGAUCAUCACGCGCAAGCGAACAGAAAGCGGCUUAUAGGUUGGCUCGGACU
rnacentral:RNase_P_RNA from 1 species